rnacentral:rRNA from 1 species
GGAAGGCAGCAGGCACGCAAAUUACCCACUCCCGGCCCGGGGAGGUAGUGACGAAAAAUAACGAUACGGGACUCUUUCGAGACCCCGUGAUCGGAAUGAUCGCAAGGUAAAGAGUGUUGAAAGGAACGAUUGGAGGGCAAGUCUGGUGCCAGCAGCUGCGGUAACUCCAGCUCCGAUAGCGUAAGCUAAAUUUGUUGCGGAUGAAAAGCUCGUAGUCGGAUCUCAGCCCGGGACGGUGGGGCGCGUCAGCGCCCCUUCCGGUCUCGCGGGCUCUGGCCGUUCACCGAACCGCGAUCUUAACCGGUCGUGGGGCGGGGUCCGGUCAGUUUACCUUGAAGAAACUGAAGUGCUCAAAGCAGGCCUGUCGCCCGCACAAGGAUGCAUGGAAUAAUGCAAGAGGACCUCGGUUCUAUUGUGUUGGUUUUCGGAACCGGAGGUAAUGAUCGAUAGGAACAGACGGGGGCAUUCGUACUGAGACGCUAGAGGUGAAAUUCUUGGACCGUCUCAGGACGAACUACUGCGAAAGCAUUUGCCAAGAAUGUUUUCAUUGACCAAGAACGAAAGUCAGAGGUUCGAAGGCGAUCAGAUACCGCCGUAGUUCUGACCGUAAACUAUGCCAGCCAGCGAUCCGGUGCUGUUUGAGAAAGGACACGCCGGGCAGCUUCCGGGAAACCAGAGCUUCUGGGUUCC